AUGCUCACUUCAGUAAUUCACAUACUAAAAUUGGAAGGAUAUAGAGAAGAUUAGUAUUGUCCUGCACAGGAAUGACAUGCAAAUUUGUGAAGUGUUCCAUAUUUUU
ensembl:snRNA U6 U6 spliceosomal RNA